rnacentral:rRNA from 1 species
UACGGAGGGAGCUAGCGGUGUUCGGAAUUACUGGGCGUAAAGCGCACGUAGGCGGCUUUUUAAGUCAGAGGUGAAAUCCCGGGGCUCAACCUCGGAACUGCCUUUGAAACUGGAAAGCUAGAAUCUUGGAGAGGCGAGUGGAAUUCCGAGUGUAGAGGUGAAAUUCGUAGAUAUUCGGAAGAACACCAGUGGCGAAGGCGACUCGCUGGACAAGUAUUGACGCUGAGGUGCGAAAGCGUGGGGAGCAAACAGG